ACACCCCCGUGCUUUCCGCCGCCCGGUUGGUGGGAGUAAGUGCCGCGACGCCUCCCUAGGUGACUUGGGCUCUGUUCUUCGCUGGGCACUGCUGCCAGCCUGGGCGCGUUCAAGUUACACACCAUUCAGUUUUAUAAGUGGCUCCCAGAAGCAUCACCCCCCCUCACCCCCGUGGGAACACAGCCGUUGUGGAGGUGGAGCCAGGACUGGAACCAGGAUCAGUGGUCAGAUAGACUUGAAAAUCUGGACUUUAAAUUCUUAUGUAAGUCAGAGAGUGACUGACCAUCAUCUGUGAGACGCUGAGGACUUCUAACAUUCACUGUAAACUGAGGCCUGGAUCCAAAAAGCACAAUGAAUGCAAGUACAUGCUAUGGUAGUGUGGUGAAUUCUAGACAAGCUGGAGAAUUUUGUACAGCUCGGGGAGGAGACCCAAUUCCUGAGGUGGUCUUGGAAUCGGAACUGAUAGAACUCGGAGAAAGUGAGGAAGUGGUUGACCUCACCUCUGACUCUCUCGAACCUGCAGUGAUUGACCUAACUCACCAUGACUCUGUUGUGACUACUGAGGAAAGGAGGAGGCCAAGGAGAAACAAAAGGUCACUCCAAGGACAAACUAGCAUCUGUGUGCUGAGCGAAAAGAAGCGGGUGAUGAGAGACAGAGAUGUAUAUGCCCUGGAAAAAGAAACUUUUAGGUGCGCACUACCUGGUUAUGUCCAGUGCCGGAUUUGUAUGGACGGGUACUUUGAGAUUGAAUUGAGUAGACGGCAUAUCUAUUCUACAGCAUGUGGCCACAUCUUCUGUAGUCAGUGCCUCUGCACUUUCCUUAGAAAUACUAAAAAUUGCCCAGUUUGUUUGAAGAAAAUUGACCGCAAUCAGUACCACCGAAUUUAUAUAUAACGUGUGCUUUGUUGCUCAGGAUAGACAAACCCCCUGACUGGAUUUUUCCACGUCUUUGCACAGAAACUAUGGAGUUGUUGGUGUCCAAUGCUCUGAGCUCCGAAAGUCUGAUUUUAAACAUUGUUCUCUUGAGUGUAUGAAAACUCUUUUAUUGCUCACAAAUGACGAGACUGCUUUUUUAUUCCUUAGGCUUCACGCUGCAGGCCUGGACUUUUGUUGCUAUAGUGAAUCAGAAACUGGUGGUUGUCCUCAAAGCAAUUUUCCUUUUUUUUUUCUUCUCAUAGUAAUCAAUUUUUAACUGGUCACAUGUGGGCAUUUUGGAUCAUGUAAAUAAGAGCAACAUCCUAGAGAUGGGGAAGCAAGUAGAUGGAAGGAAGCUGGGAGACAACUCUGAAAACCAGAGCCACAAAUACAAGUUUGGACUUUUAUGAGAUAAAUAAAUAAACUUCAUUGUUUAAGCAACUAU